UACAGAGGGUGCAAGCGUUAAUCGGAAUCACUGGGCUUAAAGGGUGCGUAGGCGGCUUUCCAGGUCUGAUGUGAAAUCUCACGGCUCAACCGUGAAAUUGCGUUGGAAACCGGAAAGCUUGAGUGUGCUAGGGGUGUGUGGAACUUCCGGUGGAGCGGUGAAAUGUGUUGAUAUCGGAAGGAACGCCGGUGGCGAAAGCGACACACUGGGGCAUAACUGACGCUGAGGCACGAAAGCUAGGGGAGCAAACAGG
rnacentral:misc_RNA from 1 species